rfam:Methanobrevibacter curvatus strain DSM 11111 MBCTR_contig000208, whole genome shotgun sequence.
UUUGGCGGUCAUAGUCUUAGGGUAAUACCUGGUCUCGUUUCGAUCCCAGAAGUGAAGUCUUUUGACGUUUUGAUUGGUACUAUGGUUUUCUAUGGGAAUUUCAUUUUGCUGCCAAAC